CCCCCCCUAGUUGGGAAGUGGGAUGUAGAGGGCUAGUUUGUUGCAUUUUGUUGACUUUAUCUGGAAGAUUCAGGACCAGGCUGGGAAAGUACAAAGGCCCCUGGUACAAGAGGAUAGAAAACUCACUUGCUUCCUUAUCUCUUAAGUGACACUUUUACUGUACCUCACCCUACCCUGACCUGGCUAGAAUCCACAUGAUUAGAUUGUAAGUUUUGGUUCCCAGACAAGGGGGCUAGACAGAGGAGGGAGCGGGGAGUCUCUCCUUAGGAAUCUAUAAAAGGUCUGUUUUUGCACCCAGGCAUUUGCAUUUGCCAUUAAGGCAUCUGUCUUUCUCAAGAGGAAAAGAAAUAACUGCCUAUCUUUUGUCUUAUUUUCUGACUCCAGUUUUGUAAUUGAAAUGAGAGGUGGGUGGUCAUUUUUAAUCACACUCAUUUGGUGAAUUGGCCAGGAUUCCUGGAAUGUCAGAAAGACCCUCAGGUUCUUCCUUCAGUGGGCACAGGAUGUCCUCCAGUUAUUUUGGCCACUUCCUCAUGGACAGAAUGCUGAGAGUUUUCUCUCUCUGCCACCUUCCAUGCCUAGAAGGAUAGGAAGGUGAAAAUAAAAAGCAGAGAAGAUCUGAAUCACAGCAACAAGGAUUAUGUACAUGGGUGCACAUGGAAGGUUUGACAUCCCAAAUCUGUUGAGAAUUUGAAAGACUGAAACACUCAGGGCUAUCUUGCAAGAUCUUUUGGCCUGAGAUGUCCAAGGGUGAGAGACUGAAGGCUCAUUGCCAGGAAGAAAGUUCUAGACAUCUUGAUUUUGAUACAGACAAAUACCUGGGAAUGGACCAGGAAAAUUCAGAGUUGCAGAAAUAAUACGAAUUAACACUAAAGGUACCUAAGGUACAGAAUUGGAAUAAGUGUAAAAAUAAAUGAAUAAUUUUUCUGCAGCACCUAAAGCUAAAGUUUGUACAAUGAAAGAAGGAACUUAAACAAAACAAACAAACAAAAAACAAGACCCAUCUCCCCUCCCACAGAUCUGGAUGAGAUGAACUGACUCAGAAUGAAGAGGACAUUGAUGGCCCAAAUCUCCACCUUUAGGGUUCCUGGUACACAAAUUCCAACCAGAGGACUGGGUCCUGAUUUGAACCUGGAAAGAGUCUUCCAAAUCCUAUUAACCACCAACACAGCUGUAAGAACUGCUGACAAGACUAGGUCCAUUCUACCUGGGUGAAAGGGCCAGCAGAGCCACCUGUCAUCUGGAUGACUGUAAUUAUUACUGACCAAGCCCUGAAAAUCAUCAUGAAGAAAUCUCAUGGCACUUGAUGGUCCUGAAUUAUUUCUAUAUGGAAGAGUUCCUUGGGGAAUCUUGGAGUUGUUGUCUUGUUGAUUCUAAUCUUAAAGCUUUCUCUAAACUGUGUGACAGGGAAGAUGGUUGUCACUCUCUGGCCAGGGUGGGGAUCCUUUGGGGUUUGCCUUCUUGUUCCAUGCCCCACAGGACAUUACCCCCAGAACUGACACACACACCGAGCUGUCGAGUUUUAUUGUUUUGCUUUUAGUGGCAUUAUUGGCAGCAGUAGGGAUCUUUUACUGCAGUUCCCUACAUUUACUGCCUCCAUUACCUUGGGUCCCCAAGACGCAAAGGGCACUGAUACUAGCAUUAACAUGGAUGAUCGUAGCUUCGAGGGUAGUGAUCCCUUGACCUUCUGAGGCCGAGAUAUGGAGGAGGUCAAGUGGGUAGACAAAAUAAUCCAAUCUGAGGAAGAGGGGAGGGCCAAAGCACAAAAAAUGAGUCCGAGCCCUUGUAAAUGGGAGGUUUUAGGAUUGCCUGCAAUGAUGAUGACUGAGGAUCCUAGAUGAGCCUUUGACACAGAGGUUGUGAGGAGUCUUAUGGUUCAGAGUACAGAAAAAAGCAAUAACUCUGCCUGUACCACCAGCAGCCCUGUUGUUCCCUUUCCUCUGGAUACGAAGUCGAAUUCCAGCGGGUGGUUACCCUCUUGGGAGAGCUAAAUCCAGGGGAUGACUAAGACUAGUGGCACAAAAGGGAGCUCUGGCUGGAGGAGGAUUCUGGAAUCAUGCUGCGCGUAUCUCAGGGCACCUGAGUCAGGUCCAAAGCGGGAACAUGCCUGAGCCUGGAAUGUGAGCGACUGGCCUGGAUGUUCUCAUCUAAGCAUCUCUUCUCCAGCAGAUCUCUGGUGGUCCCAUGGGGGAACCACACUCAGACACGUCCCAAGGGACUGGCUUGGGGUAUGUGCCUUGGUACAAUUGCCAAUCCCCUUCACAAUGAUAUAUCUGAACCCAACCACUCAGCUAGACCAGUCAAGGCAAAAGAGAAACACUUUGGUUUCUCCUGAAGGCUGCUUUGACCAAUCAGUGUGCCUAGAUGCAAUAGGAGUGCCUAGAAGAGUCCUGGGCAAGUUUAAAGCGAGGUGCGAAUCCCUUUUGGUGGUGCCAUAAGCCAGAAUCAAGGACAUCCAUUAUACUCAGCAGAGGUUCCUAAAGUACCCUGGGGACACAGUCAGGGGAUGCUGCCAGUCAAUGGCACAGGAAAAUAGAUUCGUUUAGACAUGAUGUUAGCUAAGGAAGGUGGUGCCUGUGCCAUGUCCCAAUAACACUGCGUCACUCCGGUCAGUGGCCAGAGCUCUCCAGGGACUAACUGCCCUUUCAGAAGAAUUAAGCAGAAACUCGGGGGUGGAUACUACUUCUUGGGUCAGCUGGUUGGACUCAAUUUUUUACCAGUUUAGAAGUGGUUUUCCCUGAUUGUUGGGGGUUGACUAUCCUGAUUGAAUGAUAGUUGAUUCAAACAACUUGAAUUCUUUAUGAUUUGUGCAUUAGGAAGCCUUUUAAUUAUUCACUGCCUUAUUCCUUGCCUCAUGAGGCUAUUGAAAACCUGCAGCUGGUUGUUAUGCAACUAUAGAAUUCAGAAAGGAAGGAGAUUAUCGCCUCUGAGGAUAUCUAGAUUUAGAGAGGGAAACUGAGGCAAGGGAGGAUGCCACAUCUCUGAAAAUAAAAUGGAGGGGAUGAGUGAGAUAGGAUUAAGAGCAUUAUUAUCAUUCUCACCCUUCCCGCAUUCUCAAGGCAAAGACACCAAGUUGACACCCUCAGUUGGACAGGGGAAUGUAGAGAACUAGUUUGUUUGCCUUUUGUUCAUUGUUUUUCUGGAAGAUUCUGGGACAAGGCUGGGAAAGUACAAAGGCCCCUGGUGCAAGAGGAUAGACAACUCACUUGCUUCCUUAUCUCUUAAGUGACACUUUUACUGUACCUCACCCUACCCUGACCUGGCUAGAAUCCACAUGAUUAGAUUGUAAGUCUUGGUUCCCAGACAAGGGGGCUAGAGAGAGGAGGGAGCGGGGAGUCUCUCCUUAGGAAUCUAUAAAAGGUCUGUUUUUGCACCCAGGCAUUUAUAUUUGCCAUUAAGGCAUCUGCCUUUCUCAUGAGGAAAAGAAAUAAACAAUUACUUAUUUUUACUCUCA